GGGUCUGAGAGUGCGGUUCAUCUCUCAGAAGCUGCAUUCAUAGCUUUGUAAUUGUGGUUGUGCAAGUGCUGUCAUUGCUUUGUAGACAUAUUUGGGGACACUGCUUGUUGUAACAGAGUGACACAAGUCACCUCCCUUGUUCAUCUGCAUUCCAUUAUGGCUUGAAAUGCUUGCUCAAACAUAGCCACACCAUUCUGUGAAAGUUGUCUGGAAGUUGUUGCAUAGUUCCCAGUGCACGUUUUUAAAUGUGAGCUCAGUUACUUUACACAAGAGCCCUAGCAGCGGUCCUUCACUUGGAUGCACGUCUUCAGUUCCAUAGACCCAGAAUAGAUGAAAAGUUUACCAUGUAGUUGCCUAUCCUGGUCUUGGUGUCUUGACAAUAAAUUGCAUCUCUCUUUGUGUAUGGGAACCACAGCAGGAUGCAUGCCGACAGUGUUUGCUCAGUAGCAUUUGAUAACAACGAAAAGAAACUCAAGAUUUUACUAAAACAACCCAGCCCAAUUCAGAGAAGCCAGAGGAUGAGUGAAGAAUCAUUUGGACCAUUUCUUCCCCCUUUUGCUUAAACCUGACCAGAUUCCUCCAUCUGCUGCAGCAAGUGAAACAAACUGAUGGAUGUUAAAACACAAAUGCUCUCCUCAGGCAUCUUCCUUCUUCAUGUGAUAAACUCCCUCCUCACACCACUUGAACAUUGCUGAGAGUUUUCGUGUACUACUUAAUGAUUUGUGUGUGUGUGUGCUUGUCGUAGCAAUUGUAAUGCCCUGUGCUGGAUGCUGUGUGAUAUUUAAUUGCAUUUUUUAAUUGCUUUUUAUUUCUUUUAUUGUGUUGCAACUUGAAUUCCAUAGAAUUCAAAUGGUGACACAAUGGAGCGCAAUAUAUCACAAAGAGGGGAGGCAAUGAAAAUACAGUGGUACCUCGGGUUAAGUACUUAAUUCGUUCCGGAGGUCCGUACUUAACCUGAAA